UACGUAGGGUGCAAGCGUUGUCCGGAAUUAUUGGGCGUAAAGAGCUCGUAGGCGGUUUGUCGCGUCUGCUGUGAAAACUCGAGGCUCAACCUCGAGACGCCGAUGGAAACCAUCUGGCUAGAGUCCGGAAGAGGAGAGUGGAAUUCCUGGUGUAGCGGUGAAAUGCGCAGAUAUCAGGAAGAACACCCGUGGCUAAGGCGGCUCUCUAGUACGGUACUGACGCUGAGACGCGAAAGCGUGGGGAGCGAACAGG
rnacentral:rRNA from 1 species